CUUCGGAGUUCGCCCCCUUCGGGACUCGCCUCCGGGAGACCCCCGAGGGGGAGAGGGCGCUUCCUCCGCGUCCAUCGCCCUUGCCGCCCCUGGGUGGAACUGUUUUACAAAUCUGAGGGCCACCAUUCCAGGUAUGGCUAGCCUCCCGUUGGAAAAUUUUUACCAUCUUUCUUCAAUGUAGUUCUUAUUCUUGUGGGCAAACCAAGACUUUUCGUUUGGAGGGGACCUUGGGAUCCCCAGGAGGGGAAUCUCCGGGAGCGGGAGGCAUAGCUAAGGCUUCCUCUCUAGAAGGUGGAGUUGUCGUUGCAGCCCGUUUGCCUCUUCGUCUGCCUUUCUGCUUUGCUGCUUUUCGGGGCCUCCUGCAGCGCAUCACUGCCACCUCUUCCAGGGCCCACACAGCGUUUAACAGAGGUGGAAUUUCCUCCUUAUACUUUGUUUUUUCACUUCCAGCCGUUAAAAGUCUUUUAUUCUUUGUAAACAGCCUCAUGAACAUGCAAAGUGGCAGAAGCAUAUUUGGAAUCUGUGUAAAUACUUGCCUUCUGCUCUUUUCCUAGCCAGAGAGCUCUUGUCAGAGCUAUUAGCUCUGCUUUCUAAGCAGAAGUUUCUGCAGACAGAGACGGUACCUCUACUGCUGAGUCCAAAGUCACCGCGGCAUACCCAGCUCGGCAGACUCCCCUUAGUACGAAACUGCUUCCAUCAGUAAAAUAUUCAAUGUCCAGGUCCCCGAGGGGCCAAUCUGUUAAAUCUUUCCAGCUUGAGAACACUUUAUCUACCACGUCCACACAGCAAUGAAGGGGACUUCCUGUGUAGGGUCCAGCCCUACGGGGGCUUAGCGGGUGUUCUCCCCGUGUGCAGAGACAAGAGAUCGUAAGAAAUAAAGACACAAGACAAACAGAUAAAGAGAAAACAGCUGGGCCCAGGGGACCACUACCACCAAGACAUGGAGACCGCUAGUGGCUCCGAACGGCUGGCUGCGCUGAUAUUUAUUGAAUACAAGACAAGGGGGCAGGGUACGGACGGUGAGUCGUCCAAGUAAUUGAUAAGGUGAAGCAAGUCACGUGAUCAUAGGACAGGGGGCCUUUCCCUCUUAGGUAGCCGAGCAGAGAGAGAAGGCAGCAUACGUCAGCGUUUUCUUCUAUGCACUUAUAAGAACAAUCAAAGACUUUAAGACUUUCACUAUUUCUUCUACCGCUAUCUACUACGAACUUCAAAGAGGAACCAGGAGUACGGGAAGAGCAUGAAAGUGGACAAGGAGUGUGAUCAUUCAAGCACCACAGGGAGGGGGUUAGGCCUCCGGAUGACUGCAGGCCAGGCCUGGAGAAUAUCCAGCCUCCCACAAGAAGCUGGCGGAGCAGAGUGUUCCCUGACUCCUCCAAGGAAAGGAGACUCCCUUUCACGGUCGGCUAAGUAACGGGUGCCUUCCCAGGCACUGGCGUUACCGCUUGACCAAGGAGCCCUCAAGCGGCCCUUAUGUUGGCGUGACAGAGGGCUCACCUCUUGCCUUCUAGGUCACUUCUCACAACGUCCCUUCAGCACCUGACCCUAUACCCGCCGGUUAUUCCCAGGUUAUAUAGUAAUGGAACAAAGAGUAAUAUUAAAAGCUAAUGAUUAAUAAUGUUUAUAAUAACGAUUGAUAAUUGUCCGUGAUCAUCUCUAUAUCUAAUUUGUGUUAUGACUCUAUGACUGUUCUUAUUCCAUUUUCUUUAUUAUACUGAAACAGUUUGUGCCUUCAGUCUCUUGCCUGGGCACCUGGGUCAUCCUCCACCCACAGCUGACUUCACACCGUGCUCUUCCUUGAGCAUGUCUCAGGUUUCCGGGAAGCUGAUGUUUUUGGGAGUGCAGAAGGCUUGGGAAGUGUGGUUCCUGGUCUCUUACGUGGCCGUCUGUGGAGUAGCGUCCGGACGCUGGGGUACCGUGGGAAGGGUGGUUCCCGGUCUCUUACGUGGCCGUCUGUGGAGUAGCGUCCGGACGCUGGGGUACCGUGGGAAGGGUGGUUCCUGGUCUCUUACGUGGCCGUCUGUGGAGUAACGUCCGGAUGCUGGGGUACUGUCUCUGGCAGGGCUGUUUUCUCAGGCACCUUCUCCCACCUGGACUCAAGGGUUCUGCUUUCUUAGAAGUUUCUGUUUCCUGCUGUUUGGAAAUUCGUGAAUUGUGUGAGGUCUGAGGAGGGGGGUAACACAUUUCUGAACGUGAAGUUAUACAUUGAGGGUGGGUAGAAGCACUGUGGGCUAAGGAGGCUUCUCUGCAGGACCCCAUCAGGACGGUGUCAGGGCGUGUGGAAACACUGUAGGCUAAGUAAGCAGGCUUCUCUGCAGGACCCCAUCAGGACGGUGUCAGGGCGUGUGGAAAAACUGUAGGCUAAGUAAGGAGGCUUCUCUGCAGGACCCCAUCAGGACGGUGUCAGGGCGGGUAGAAGCACUGUGGGCUAAGUAAGGAGUCUUCUCUGCAGGAGCCGCAUCAGGACAGCGUCAGGUGACUCCAACCUCCUCUUGUAGGGGUGCCAGAGGCCCCUGUGCGCUUUACCAGGCCUGGGAGUCUCCUCUCCUCACCCCAGCUGCUGCAGGACCUCACUGUCUUGGUACAGGUCCCUGCCAGGCCCCAAUGGGGCUUCCACACUCCAGGCCCCACAGGGAGCCCCUCAAGCCUUCGCCUCUCUCGUCACAGGCCUCCUCUGCUGAAAUCUUCCCUUUUCUGGGGCUGCGGUCCUGCUCUAUGUGGGUUCAGAGGCCUAAGCCUCCCCGUGUCUCCUGGUGCAGGUCAGAGACCCAG
rnacentral:lncRNA from 1 species